ensembl:lncRNA
AUGUCUGAUCUUGAGAUGGACCGUCUCCUGAAUGAGAUGAGUGACCUUGUCGAUCAGGCUGAACAUCAAGCUCACCUCCAACAGCUCAUUAGCAUGCACCAGGAAGCAGAACCAUCCACCGGUCAGCCUUCCACCAGUAAUCCAUCCACCAGCCGGCCAUCAAAAAAAGCAAGCAAGACGUUAGGUGGAUUAAGAGGGACAGUGAUGGAAACAUUAUUUACGGCAGGCCCAGAUCAUCCCGGAAACAAGCAGCAGGUCCCAGUCACAGCCAGAGUCGAAAGACUGGUGUCUCUCAUAUCAGGGCUCCUGAAACCAGUGCGGAAAUGACCAGUGACUUUCCUUCCGUUACUGCAGGUGUGUUAUUUAUUUUGACUUCACUGGUUCAAAACAGUAUGUUCAUUUAU